GGGAUGGGCACGGCACCCUCAGGGACAGCCAUGGCCCCCUCAGGGAUGGGCACGGCCCCCUCAGGGACAGCCACGGCCCCCUCAGGGACAGCCACGGCCACGGCGAGUCGGGGAGCGCAAACAGAGCUCUGCGAUCCCACUGAGACACUGCAGCGUGCCCGGAGAAGGGCAGCGGAGCUGGGAAAGAAGAGUCUGGGGCAGACCAGUUCUAAGAGGAGCUGGGGGGCUCGACCUGGAGGAAAGGAGACUCAAUGAUUUAUGUAUCUGCCGGGAAGGAGGUUAUGGACAGGUACCAGGAACUGAUGUAUUCCCUUUAUGGUAGAACUGACAGUAAAAUGCAUCAGUGCAGAAACCUGAGCUAUGUCUUGAGUCAGCAUCAUAACCACCAGGCACCAGAGAGGAGAGAUAGUGGUGUCUCUGUCCUAGAAUUCCUACCCAGGUGUUGAAGUGGUGAUUGGAAGCUAGACUGCAUCCUGAAGAAGGGCUCUAACCACCUACCAACAGUCUCCUAAAGCACCAGGAUUUGAAAGGACCUCAGAAAAUGAUCUGGUUCUGCCUUCUCCCUUUAAACAGCCAAGCGAUGUGAAGCUGUUUCUCAUAGAUGUUAUUCUAGUCUCUUAUUAAAAGCAUUCACUUUUGGAGAGUCCA